rnacentral:rRNA from 1 species
UACGUAGGUGGCAAGCGUUGUCCGGAUUUACUGGGCGUAAAGAGCGCGCAGGCGGCUGGUCAAGUCCGAUGUGAAAUCUCCCGGCUUAACUGGGAAACUGCAUCGGAAACUGAUCGGCUUGAAGGUGGGAGAGGGUAGUGGAAUUCCCGGUGUAGUGGUGAAAUGCGUAGAUAUCGGGAGGAACACCAGUGGCGAAGGCGGUUCUCUGGGCAUGUCCUGACGCUGAGGAGCGAAAGUGUGGGGAGCGAACAGG